rfam:Macaca mulatta chromosome 15, whole genome shotgun sequence.
GCCGGGUGUGGUGGCUCACACCUGUAAUCCCAGUACUUUGGGAGGCUGAGGCGGGUAGAUCGCCUGAGGUCAGGAGUUCGAGACCAGCCUGGCCAACAUGGUGAAACCCCGUCUCUA